AGAUAGAAACUCUUUUGUUUGCCUAAAUAUAUAGAUAUGAUAGAAUGCUUUGCGAAAUUGUACUUUAGAUAUAAAGUUGAGAAAGGGGUUUGAAGGCCACUAACUCGCUGAAGCUGGCAUAAUUAAUAACAGCCUAGCAGAAAUCCCUGGAACACUAGGACAAGAUAAACUUGGAGAGAGAAACAGUGAGAAAAGGUCAAUGGAACAGGAGUGAGGAAGACUUGAAGCCUCCCUUCUACGACCACAAGAGAGUAGAAAAGGAUCAUCUAAUGACCAGAGACACAUGCUCAGAAACGCCGGGAGAAAGCCACAUCACCAGGAGGCCGAAACGAAUAACAGGACAAACACGGAAGCGGGAAGCGCGGCAGCUCCGUGGGGAAGAGGUUUCUCCUCCUCCUCCCUGCCGCCCGGCGCCGACUUUUGCUUAUUGCUGGCUUGCUAUAAUUAAUAAAAACCUUUCCUUAUAUAUCUUUUUCUAGUGUGUUUAUAACAAAUUUGGUGCCGUGACUCGGAUGCAAUCUGCAGGACAGAUUCUCGGUACCACCGGUGGGCGCCCCCGCUUUAAUAUUUAGCGGUCCGGAGGACCGGUUUCUGCCUCAGUUGCACCGACGAACCUAAAAGAUCUAAGCAAUAAGCAAAAGGGAGACCGGUCGACCCCUUAAAAUCUGUGCACAGUGUCCGGACGAAGACGCAGGACGCGUACAACCCGGAGAUUGGGUGUUGAUAAGAAGUUGGAAAGAGAAUCCCCUAACACCGAAGUGGGAAGGACUGUAUCAAGUCUUACUAACAACUGAUUCUGCAAUCCGAACCGCAGAGAAAGGAUGGACACAUGCAAGUCGAAUUAAGGGACCUGUGGAGCCACAAAAAACAAACUAAUAACUAAAAAGUGGUUAGCCCGGCUGGGGACCUGAGACUUAAAAUAUCCUGG